GGAGGUGGCAGCGAGAUGGUAGCCACGAUUGUCACUGUUAUUCUGCACAGAGAUACAACGUAAUAUCUUGUGCGUGUGACAGUGACAAUAGAGGUUUCCACGUCUGCAGUGAGCAGAA
rnacentral:precursor_RNA from 9 species